CCUACGGGUGGCAGCAGUGGGGAAUAUUGGGCAAUGGACGCAAGUCUGACCCAGCAACGCCGCGUGAAGGAAGAAGGCUUUCGGGUUGUAAACUUCUUUUAAGGGGGAAGAGAAGAAGACGGUACCCCUUGAAUAAGACACGGCUAACUACGGGCCAGCAGCCGCGGGAAUACGGAGGUGGCACGCGUUGUCCGGAUUUACUGGGUGUAAAGGGCGUGCAGCCGGCGAGACAAGUCAGAUGUGAAAUCCACGGGCUCAACUCGUGAACUGAAUUUGGAACUGUUUCCCUUGAUUGUCGGAGAGGUAAUCUGCAUUCCUUGUGUAGCGGUUACAUGCGUAGCUAUCAG
rnacentral:rRNA from 1 species